rnacentral:rRNA from 1 species
UUCGAGUGGCGGACGGGUGAGUAACGCGUGGGUAACCUGCCUUACACAGGGGGAUAACACCUGGAAACAGGUGCUAAUACCGCAUAAGCGCACAGGGCCGCAUGGCCCGGUGUGAAAAACUCCGGUGGUAUGAGAUGGGUCCGCGUCUGAUUAGCUAGUUGGCAGGGGUAACGGCCUACCAAGGCGACGAUCAGUAGCCGGCCUGAGAGGGUGUACCGGCCACAUUGGGACUGAGACACGGCCCAAACUCCUACGGAAGGCAGCAG